rnacentral:rRNA from 1 species
CCUACGGGAGGCAGCAGUGGGGAAUAUUGCACAAUGGGGGGAACCCUGAUGCAGCGACGCCGCGUGAGUGAAGAAGUAUUUCGGUAUGUAAAGCUCUAUCAGCAGGGAAGAAAAUGACGGUACCUGACUAAGAAGCCCCGGCUAACUACGUGCCAGCAGCCGCGGUAAUACGUAGGGGGCAAGCGUUAUCCGGAUUUACUGGGUGUAAAGGGAGCGCAGACGGCUGUGCAAGUCUGGAGUGAAAGGCGGGGGCCCAACCCCCGGACUGCUCUGGAAACUGUAAAGCUGGAGUGCAGGAGAGGUAAGCGGAAUUCCUAGUGUAGCGGUGAAAGGCGUAGAUAUUAGGAGGAACACCAGUGGCGAAGGCGGCUUACUGGACUGCAACUGACGUUGAGGCUCGAAAGCGUGGGGAGCAAACAGGAUUAGAUACCCUAGUAGUC